rnacentral:rRNA from 1 species
GACGAACGCUGGCGGCGUGCUUAACACAUGCAAGUCGAACGGAAAGGCCCUGCUUUUGUGGGGUGCUCGAGUGGCGAACGGGUGAGUAACACGUGAGUAACCUGCCCUUGACUUUGGGAUAACUUCAGGAAACUGGGGCUAAUACCGGAUAGGAGCGCCUGCUGCAUGGUGGGGGUUGGAAAGUUUCGGCGGUUGGGGAUGGACGCGCGGCUUAUCAGCUUGUUGGGGGGGUAGUGGCUUACCAAGGCUUUGACGGGUAGCCGGCCUGAGAGGGUGACCGGCCACAUUGGGACUGAGAUACGGCCCAGACUCCUACGGGAGGCAGCAGUGGGGAAUAUUGCACAAUGGGCGGAAGCCUGAUGCAGCAACGCCGCGUGCGGGAUGACGGCCUUCGGGUUGUAAACCGCUUUCGCCCGUGACGAAGCGUGAGUGACGGUAAUGGGUAAAGAAGCACCGGCUAACUACGUG